rnacentral:rRNA from 1 species
GUGGGGAAUAUUGCGCAAUGGGCGAAAGCCUGACGCAGCGACGCCGCGUGAGGGAUGAAGGUUUUCGGAUCGUAAACCUCUGUCAGAAGGGAAGAAACUACGUUGUGCUAAUCAGCAGCGUACUGACGGUACCUUCAAAGGAAGCACCGGCUAACUCCGUGCCAGCAGCCGCGGUAAUACGGAGGGUGCAAGCGUUAAUCGGAAUUACUGGGCGUAAAGCGCACGUAGGCUGUAGUGUAAGUCAGGGGUGAAAUCCCACGGCUCAACCGUGGAACUGCCUUUGAUACUGCACAACUUGAAUCCGGGAGAGGGUGGCGGAAUUCCAGGUGUAGGAGUGAAAGCCGUAGAUAUCCGGAGGAACACCGGUGGCGAAGGCGGCCACCUGGACAGGUACUGACGCUGAGGCGCGAAAGCGUGGGGAGCAAACAGGAUUAGAAACCCGAGUAGUCC